CGGGUCUAAGUUUCCUCAUUUGAGAGAAAGAAGGGUUCAAGAAGAAAAUGUAUCAACAUCGUCUUCAACACGCCGAUUGGAUGCCCUUUCUAACUUUGACAGAUUUGUUAGAGCUUCCUAUCGAGUAGAGAAUAUGAACUCUGAACUGGAUUUAUAUUUAGAGGAGAACUUGAUACCUAGGACUGAAGAGUCAUUUGAUAUAUGCAACUAUUGGAAGGUGACGGGCCUCAAAUACCCUUUGUUGAGUAUGAUUGCCAAGGAUGUAUUUGUUGUGCCUGUUAGCACUGUUGCUUCGGAAUCUACAUUCAGCAAUGGUGGUAGGCCCGUGAGUUCACAUUGAUCGAGACUUCAUCCUUCUACAUUACAAGCAUUAGUAUGUACACAAAAUUGGUUGAAGACUGACAAAAAAGCAACAGUGAAUGAUGAAGAUAAUGAUGUUGAUCCAACAAUGGAGCCUUACGUAGUUGAUCUUGAUGAUUAGAAAGUACAUUGUUCUUUUUAGUAUAUGAGUGAGGACAUGGAUGAGAACAAAUUGUAGUGUUUAGUACUUAUGGUUGCUAGUUAUUAUAUUUGAGUUUAUGGUUGGUAGUUAUUAUUGAUGUAUUAAAUAUUGUUAGGAACAAAAGUACAAUCUCAAACUUUCCUCUAGUAUGCAUAAUUGAAUCACUCAUUUAUUCAUUAUAACAAAAAUUCAAUUAUUCAUUGAAAACCUUAGUUUCCAACCUUAUCUAUUAUUAAAGUAAAAUUGAAAAAAAAAUUACCAUCUCACCCUUAUAAUUCUCUUCAUUAAAAAUAAAUUGACUUACAUAAUUAUUACAAUAUUGAUUU